rnacentral:rRNA from 1 species
GACGAACGCUGGCGGCGUGCCUAAUACAUGCAAGUCGAACGCAAUUUCUCUCCAUGUAGCUUGCUAUCCCGAAAGAAAGUGAGUGGCGAAAGGGUGAGUACCUCGUCGGUAAUCUGCCCUUCCGCGGGGGAUAACACUCGGAUACAGGUGCUAAUACCGUACUACUUCAUUUACCGUAUGGAAGUUGGAUGAAUGGCGCUUUUCCGUCACCGUUGGAUGGACUUGCGGUGCAUUAGCUUGUCGGUGGGGUUACGGACUACCUAGGCUGGGAUGGAUACCCGACCUGAGAGGGUGGGCAGCCGCACUGGGACUGUGACACGGCCCAGACGCCUACGGGAGGCGGCAGUAGUGAUUCUUCGGCAAUGGACGGAAGACUGACCGAGCAACGCGGCGUGAGUGAAGAGGAUUGUCGGGUGGGAGAACACUGUUGUUAGAGAAGAACAAGGAUGAGAGUGGAAAGAUCAGCCCUUGACGGUAUCUAACAAGAAAGCCACGGCUAACUACGUG